AAAAUGAUACACAAAUUAUAAACAACUCAAGGGUAUAUAAGUCAUUUUGCUACUAAUUCUCCUUCCUUCUCCAGUUUUCUUCGCAGGUCAUGGGUGAAAAAAAAUUAAAUGGGCCCCAUGCAACUUUUUUCUUUUCCACCCUCUUUUCUAUUCCAUCCAAACGACGUAAAACAAGUUUUCCAUUCAUUUUCCCUUCAAAGGUUUUCUUUCCUUUCAUUUUUCACAGAUCCAAACAAUGUGUAAGCUAUCUCCUCGCAUAGCGUCCUCUCGCCGCCGCACUCUCCGGCAGAGUGCAGAGAGAGGGAAUUUGGAUCGAUGGGAAGGGGAAGAGUGCAGUUGAAGAGGAUCGAGAAUAAGAUUAAUAGGCAAGUCACGUUCUCAAAGAGAAUUAUUUUUCUUUUCUGUUUUUUUUUUCUUUCUUUUUUUUUUUUCUAGCAGCAGAGAAAGAAGAAGAACAACUCGAGCAUGGCACAAACGCUAGCGAUGCCCGUAGCUCCCUCUCUCGCCCUAAUCUCAAACCCUAGACCUCUUUCCAGAGCCGUCUAUUUCCCUGUUCUCAACCCUCCCAAGGUGAGAGGGUUAAGCAUAGAGUGCGCUCGAGUUGGCGGAGUGAAGAUUACGAACAACAAGAGAAUCGAGUUCUCGCUACAGUACAUCCAUGGAAUCUCAGUGCUAUGCGAUGCCGAAGUCGCACUCAUCGUCUUCUCUACCACAGGCAAGCUCUUCGAAUAUUCCAGCGAUCCCUGAGCUGAAGCUUGUUGGACUUCUUGAUGAAUAGGGAUGGAUUAUAUCAUUGAGUAUUUAUUGAGAAAGAACAACAAGAAUAUGAAGGUUGGAAGUGUUCAAGUAGCUGCUUCUCAAAGAGUAUUUUUAUAGAAUACGGAUUGAAUCAAAAUGAAGAAGCAAGAACAGAGUUGAGAGCAGUAGAUGCGUGGAUACUGACUGACAAGCCUUACUCUAAUCAAUCCAUUCAUUCGG